GGCGAUGAUGAUCAAUGCUUAAUUUCUGACACCUCUUGUAUGAGAAGAGCUUGAUAACCUCUUCUUUGAGCACAUUAUGCAAUACUCUGAGCC
rnacentral:snoRNA from 14 species